rnacentral:rRNA from 1 species
GUUUACAGCCAUACCACCCUGAACAUGCCUGAUCUCGUCUGAUCUUAGAAGCUAAGCAGGGUCAGGCCUGGUUAGUACUGGAUGGGAGACCUCCGGGUGCUGUAGGCU